AGCAGUAGCCACGGUAAUACGAAGGGUGCAAGCGUUAAUCGGAAUUACUGGGCGUAAAGCGUGCGUAGGCGGUGAGUUAAGUCUGUUGUGAAAUCCCCGGGCUCAACCUGGGAAUGGCAGUGGAUACUGGCUCGCUAGAGUGUGUCAGAGGAUGGUGGAAUUCCCGGUGUAGCGGUGAAAUGCGUAGAGAUCGGGAGGAACAUCAGUGGCGAAGGCGGCCAUCUGGGACAACACUGACGCUGAGGCACGAAAGCGUGGGGAGCAAACAGGAUUAGAUACCCCAGUAGUCCCUGUCUCUUAUAC
rnacentral:rRNA from 1 species